AACCCAAAUUAAUUAUUACUCGGCGUAAAACGUGUAUACAGAUCUUAUCCAAAUAGAAUUAAAAAUCAAUUAAUAUGUGAAAAUUCAUUAUUGAAACUAAGAUCAAUAACGAAAGUAAUUCUAGAGCCCUUAGUACACGAUAGCUAAGACCCAAACUGGGAUUAGAUACCCCACUAUGCUUAGCCUUAAACCUUAAUAAUUUUUUUCAACAAAAUUAUUUGCCUGAGAACUACUGGCCACAGCUUAAAACUCAAAGGACUUGGCGGUACUCUAUAUCCGUCUAGAGGAGCCUGUUCUAUAAUCGAUAAACCCCGCUACACCUCACCAUUUCUUGCUAAUC
rnacentral:rRNA from 1 species